rnacentral:rRNA from 1 species
CAGGAUUAGAUANCCCUGGUAGUCCACGCCGUAAACGAUGUCGACUUGGAGGUUGUGCCCUUGAGGCGUGGCUUCCGGAGCUAACGCGUUAAGUCGACCGCCUGGGGAGUACGGCCGCAAGGUUAAAACUCAAAUGAAUUGACGGGGGCCCGCACAAGCGGUGGAGCAUGUGGUUUAAUUCGAUGCAACGCGAAGAACCUUACCUACUCUUGACAUCCAGAGAACUUAGCAGAGAUGCUUUGGUGCCUUCGGGAACUCUGAGACAGGUGCUGCAUGGCUGUCGUCAGCUCGUGUUGUGAAAUGUUGGGUUAAGUCCCGCAACGAGCGCAACCCUUAUCCUUUGUUGCCAGCGGUCCGGCCGGGAACUCAAAGGAGACUGCCAGUGAUAAACUGGAGGAAGGUGGGGAUGACGUCAAGUCAUCAUGGCCCUUACGAGUAGGGCUACACACGUGCUACAAUGGCGCAUACAAAGAGAAGCGAACUCGCGAGAGCAAGCGGACCUCAUAAAGUGCGUCGUAGUCCGGAUUGGAGUCUGCAACUCGACUCCAUGAAG